AUUGCAGGCUGNAACUCGCAUGCAUGAAGUCGGAAUUGCUAGUAAUCGCAGAUCAGCAUGCUGCGGUGAAUACGUUCCCGGGCCUUGUACACACCGCCCGUCACACCAUGGGAGUCGGUAACACCCGAAGUCGGUAGCCUAACCGUAAGGAGGGCGCCGCCGAAGGUGGGAUUGAUGACUGGGGUGAAGUCGUAACAAGGUAUC
rnacentral:rRNA from 1 species